CUCGCGGGCUGGGGCGCCUGAGGGAGGGGCUGCGGCUUCUCGCCCUCACCCUCCCGAGGCUCCUCAGGGCGACCGUGCCUGCCCUACCUCAUCCAACCGAGGUUCCUCAGAGCGACCCUGUCUCCCUUGGUUUCCCCGAGGUUCCUCAGCUCUCCUCAGGGCGCUAUUCCCGCCCGCCUUCAUCCUCCCGAGACGCCUCAGGGCAUCGCUUUCGCCCACCCUAACGGCUGCCCCCACUCUCCUCGGACUCCUGAGGGAGCCCUUCACACCUUCCCUCAGCCGCCCUCGCCGCGGGCUGCCCACGCCUUAGCUACUGCACAGCUGUCCCUCUUCCCCGGGGCAUCGCUGCGUGAGGGUCUUCACCUGUUUGGUCCUCCUUUCUCCUGAGGGUCUCCUGUGUGCUUGCCCUGGGGAGCCCUUCCCCUGCCCGGUGCUGUUCCCAGUCAGGAGCUGCAGGGAAGGAGACACUUCCCAGGCAGGACGUGCAGGGAAGGAGAGGUUUUUGGAGGUGUGGGUAUACUCACACCACCCCCUGCUUGCUGGCAGGGCAAGUGAAGGGCCCGGGUUCAUCAUCAGAACGAACUGUACUCAAAGAUGGAGCAGACCCCAAGGAUCUGAGAGUGCUCUGGGAAACGAGAAACAAAUGCAGAAGGAAGAAGCUGGCUUGAUGUGGCAGUCCAAUUAUCCUGUCCCAGUGAAUGAAAAGGCACUGUUUACAACGGCAAGGUAAGGCAGAAAAGUACUUUUUUUAUCAUCAUUCUGUUUCCUGAUACGUGGAGAUGGUUCCAGUGGAGAGAACUGGUGA